AGCAGGAGUCAGCCGUGCUGUAUGUGAACUCUGUCCCAGAAAAAUGAGCCUUUGCAAGUACUGUGCAGGACGCUGUUCCAGGAAAUAUGACCUCAAAACCUCUGCUCUCAACAAAAGCUGGUGCUUUUACUCACUGGUUUUUACAGAAAAUCCCACUGGACGGAAAACAAGAACACCUACGUAAGAAACGUCUUCCGUGUUUAGAAACAGAGACAGCAGCAUACCUGCGUGAUGGCAGCUUUCAGAGCAGUUUCUUUGACCAGGGCCCCUCCAACAGGAAGAGAAGCCGUUCUCACUCCUCCUCCUCCUCCACCUCCUCCACCUCCGCUGCUGCUUCCACUGGGUCCUGGACUGGUGCUCUCACUCUCUGAGCCCCGGAACGUCCUUCGGAUGCUUCCAGACUCUGGACGUUUCCUCAACCUGAACGAAUACCAAGUAUUCUGAGUGAAAAACCUCUUGUACACUUUAUGUCAACAGAAAACAAACAUAGCAAAUGGAAACAUAAUGUGAGCUGUGUAUUCUGUAAACAGACCCAAAAACUGUUCACCUUGCACACUGUCUCUAAGUUUUAAUACUCUAAGAUUUCUGCAGUCAUAUUUGAGUCUGAUUUGACUCUCCAGAUUUUUACAUACUUGUUCAAGUUGGCCAGGUAGAUAUCAGCCACAUGAGCUCCAGUGGGAGAGGCAGCACUGCCUCUAGUAGACACCCUCUCCUCCAGCAGGUCCCUGCUGUCCAUAUCAGGUUUUGGACUCCCUCUGCCCCCGUCCGGCCUGAAACAUUCGAACAGUAGUGUACUGAUUGUUGCUGGGCUUCCAAAACACAUCAAACCAGAAUAGCAGGACCUGUUUUCCUCAAUGACUGAUUACUUCUGAAUGAUCAACAUCACUUACAGGUCACUCAUCUUAUUAGGAGAAACUGUGCACUCUUCUGACUCCACCAAAAUAGCAGUAAUAAAAUGUGAUGUGAACUGUAACACUUAUCACUUAUCAUAACAGACGUCUACUUUUAACUAAGAUAAGAAGCAACAGUAACUUUAAGGGGAAGUCUGGUAUGAGUCAGUCUGAGUUUCAUUCUCAAUUUUGUCUUUCAUGACUACAAUUAGGACAAAUUUUGACUCAUCACACAUAUGUUAUCAUCAUGUGCCUAAUUAACAAUUUUUAAGGUUGACAAAUAAGUGGAUGUGUUACAAGCUUAAAACAAUGCAGCACAGUCAACCAACUUCCUUAACAACAGGACUUUCCAGUGAGUGAAUUUCUGUUCACUGUGGUCAGAUUAAAGAUCAAGUGUCAUGUUUCCUGUAACUGUAGCUGUGUGAGACUGUGGCGUGAGGGCCAGAACAUGAGAUUAAAAAAAUAACAUGAAAACA